GUCUAAUAAACUUACAUCUUUCACACUUUAUACAGAUUGGAGGGCUGUGGUUUGUCAGAGAUCAGCUGUGAUUAUCUGACAGCAGCACUGACAUCCAACCCCUCCCAUCUGAGAGAGCUGAACCUAUGGAGAAAUGACCUCCAGAUUCCAGAUGUGAAGCAGCUGACUGAUCUUAAGGAGAGUCCAGACUGCAGACUGGAGACUCUGAGGUGGAGCUGAUGAUGGUAAACAGGACAGUGUCUGUGCUGAAAGAAAAUGAGCUGUGUCCUGAUGAUCCAGAGAGGUUGAAGCCACAGCAGCUUGUGUGUAGAGACGCUCUGACUGGGCCAUGUUACUGGGAGGUGGAGUGGAGAGCUUCAUCCAGCAGUGACUGACAGAGGAA